GCGGACAGAAGCGGGGAGCCGAGCGCGGAGCCCAGCGUGCAGGACAGCGGGGACAAGGGGAACUUGAGGAGGUUCGCCUGGUCGGCUUUUAGCACUGCGGCGGCGUGGGAAAGGAAACAUUGAGGUCGAGUUUAAAAAGCAGCUUCUUGAAGUCUACUGGGUGUAAGGCCGAGCCUGUCUACGGUGUUCUCCAUCUCACCCAGCUGACUGUGAAACGGCCGGGCGGACAGAAGAGCCUGCACCCCGAACUUGAGCAGCUCUCCGGCCGGCGCCGAUGUUUUGUGCUCCGGGUGAUCCGUCAGAAUUUCCUCUAUCAUGAAACUCCUGUAGCGAUGUUUCCCCCCUCCCUCCUCUUGCGGAGGUAUCUUACAGCCGAUGGCGAUCACUUGGCCAGAGUCCGGAACCUGUGCAUGGCCUGCUGGGGGUUGUUCCUGCGGACCGCGGAGCCCGGCACCUUGGUAGUGAGAUCGGGAAUAAGCUUUUUGGAGUUAAGAGUUCCGUCGUGGCUCCACCCUCCAUCCCUCUCUCCCGCCCGGGAUUUGCCCUUGCAGCUUUCUGCCUUUGUCGCAGCUAAACCUCCAUGCAAAGGCUCACUUGUCCUGCGUGGACUUAUUCAAAACAGAGGUAAAUGAGGACUCGGAGCAAGGACACUUGAAGCAACUUCAACUAGGAACUCUUAGCCUGAUGAUGGUGAGCAGGCUGAGAAUAGAGAAGCUGCUCCUAAAAGGAGAAAGUGUUGUAUAAAAAAAUGUUUGUCAUUAA